GAUGAACGCUGGCGGCGUGCCUAAUACAUGCAAGUCGAGCGAACGGACGAGAAGCUUGCUUCUCUGAUGUUAGCGGCGGACGGGUGAGUAACACGUGGAUAACCUAUCUUUAAGACUGGGAUAACUUCGGGAAACCGGAGCUAAUAUCGGAUAAUAAUUUGAACCGCAUGGUUCAAAAGUAAAAGACGUUUUUUCUGUCACUUAUUGAUGGAUCCGCGCUGCAUUAGCUAGUUAGUAAGGUAACGGCUUACCAAGGCAACGAUGCAUAGCCGACCUGAGAGGGUGAUCGGCCACACUGGAACUGAGACACGGUCCAGACUCCUACGGGAGGCAGCAGUAGGGAAUCUUCCACAAUGGGCGAAAGCCUGACGGAGCAACGCCGCGUGAGUGAUGAAGGUCUUCGGAUCGUAAAACUCUGUUAUUAGGGAAGAACAUAUGUGUAAGUAACUGUGCACAUCUUGACGGUACCUAAUCAGAAAGCCACGGCUAACUACGUG
rnacentral:rRNA from 1 species